rnacentral:rRNA from 1 species
AGGACGAACGCUGGCGGCGUGCUUAACACAUGCAAGUCGAGCGGUAAGGCCCUUUCGGGGGUACACGAGCGGCGAACGGGUGAGUAACACGUGGGUGACCUGCCCCCUACUCUGGGAUAAGCCUGGGAAACUGGGUCUAAUACCGGAUAUGACUCAAGGCUGCAUGGUUUUGGGUGGAAAGCUUUUGUGGUGGGGGAUGGGCCCGCGGCCUAUCAGCUUGUUGGUGGGGUGAUGGCCUACCAAGGCUUCGACGGGUAGCCGGCCUGAGAGGGCGUCCGGCCACACUGGGACUGAGACACGGCCCAGACUCCUACGGGAGGCAGCAGUGGGAAUAUUGCGCAAUGGGCGGAAGCCUGACGCAGCGACGCCGCGUGGGGGAUGACGGCCUUCGGGUUGUAAACCUCUUUCGGCCUCGACGAAGCCUUCGGUGACGGUAGGGUGGAGAAGCACCGGCCAACUACGUGCCAGCAGCCGC